GAGAGCGGCGACGCUUGGUGGGGGGAGGCCCUGUACGGUCCCGACUACGACAAUGCGACGCGAGGGUUCUUCGGGCACUGGCGCGAGAUCCGACGGCGGUUGCAGGGGUCUCUCAACACCGACGCCUAUCAGUCCAGCCUCCGCGUGUUCCGAUUGCAGUCGUCCUACCUGGCGACGUACGACGUCGUCUCUAACGCGAUUUCCGUCGGCGUCCAAGCAGUCACGGAGCCCUUCUAUGUGGCUGACGGUACGAGUGCCAUCAAUUACGGCGGCCUGGGCUUUCUCUAUGCCUUGCAGGUGGCGCGCACCAUCAACGCACUCACGCUCCUGCUCGACGGCGACCACACACCGUCGGCUCGGGUUCCUCCAACCAACGCCACCGACGCCAGCGGGGCUCCAGGACAGGCUCUGUGGAAGCUGGGCCGGUGCACUUCCUCCAACGCGUCCGCCCACGUGACGUCG